UUGGUGGCCGAGGCUAGUUAGAUGGACAAGCUAGAAACUUUUCUCUGAGCAGAUCAAACUUCGCUCUGUGAUCCUCGAAUAUGUUUUUUUUUAAGAACUCUAUAAGCAAAAAGGUCGACAGUAAACCGGAAGAAGAAGAAAAGGCCAAGUUAGCGCGAAAAGAUGGAACAGCUGAGACGGUUGUUGAAACAGCGGCUAACUGCUACUAAUGCAGCAAACAGAUCGCAGAGCAGCAAGAUGAAACGAGUGGAUUUAAAGAAGAGAAGAAACUAGUCAACGAGCUGGAUGCUGUUUUCAAGCCUGAAGUUCGCUGAUCCAGAGCAGUCUUUGUACAAACAUGUCUGAAUUCCAGCAGCUGAGGAACAUGUUUAAACUACAGCUAACACCUGCUGAUGAAGGAACGAUCGCAGAGCAGGAAGAAGAAAUGAGUCAUUUAAAAGAAGAGACCAAAAGAGACAUGUUGGUGAUUAAAGAAGAAAUUUUCACUGAACACCAGGAAUGG